rnacentral:rRNA from 1 species
GCGAACGCUGGCGGCAGGCCUAACACAUGCAAGUCGAGCGGCCCUUCGGGGCAGCGGCGGACGGGUGAGUAACGCGUGGGAACGUGCCCUUUGGUACGGAACAACUGAGGGAAACUUCAGCUAAUACCGUAUGUGCCCUACGGGGGAAAGAUUUAUCGCCAUUGGAGCGGCCCGCGUUGGAUUAGCUAGUUGGUAGGGUAAUGGCCUACCAAGGCGACGAUCUAUAGCUGGUCUGAGAGGAGGAUCAGCCACACUGGGACUGAGACACGGCCCAGACUCCUACGGGAGGCAGCAGUGGGGAAUCUUGCGCAAUGGGCGAAAGCCUGACGCAGCCAUGCCGCGUGAAUGAUGAAGGUCUUAGGAUUGUAAAAGUCUUUCACCGGGGACGAUAAUGCCGGUACCCGGAGAAGAAGCCCCGGCUAACUUCGUGCCAGCCGCCGCCGUAACAC